UACGUAGGGUGCAAGCGUUGUCCGGAAUUAUUGGGCGUAAAGAGCUCGUAGGUGGCGUGUCGCGUCUGCCGUGAAAGCCCAUGGCUUAACUGUGGGUCUGCGGUGGAUACGGGCAGGCUGGAGGCUGGUAGGGGCAAGCGGAAUUCCUGGUGUAGCGGUGAAAUGCGCAGAUAUCAGGAGGAACACCGGUGGCGAAGGCGGGUCUCUGGGCCGAUACUGACGCUGAGGAGCGAAAGCGUGGGGAGCGAACAGG
rnacentral:rRNA from 1 species